UACAGAGGGUGCAAGCGUUAAUCGGAUUUACUGGGCGUAAAGGGCGCGUAGGUGGUUGUAUAAGUGAGAUGUGAAAUCCCCGGGCUUAACCUGGGACGUGCAUCUUAGACUGUAUAACUGGAGUGUAGUAGAGGGUAGUGGAAUUUCCGGUGUAGCGGUGAAAUGCGUAGAUAUCGGAAGGAACACCAGUGGCGAAGGCGGCUACCUGGACUAACACUGACACUGAGGCGCGAGAGCGUGGGGAGCAAACAGG
rnacentral:rRNA from 1 species